rnacentral:rRNA from 1 species
UCAGUGCACGCCUUUAUACGGUGAAACCGCGAAUGGCUCAUUAAAUCAGCUAUGGUUUACUGGACCGUACCCGUUAAAUGGAUAACUGUAAUAACUCUAGAGCUAAUACAUGCAACUAUGCCCUGACCCGCAAGGGAAGGGGUGCACUUAUUAGAUCAGAAGCCAACCGGGCAUCGGUCGCAAGGCCGGUGUCUGUUGUCGUUCUGGUGACUCUGGAUAAUUGUUACAGAUCGCAGUCGGCCAUGAGUCGGCGACGGGUCCUCCAAAUGUCUGCCCUAUCAACUUUCGAUGGUAGGUGACCUGCCUACCAUGGUGAUAACGGGUAACGGGGAAUCAGGGUUCGAUUCCGGAGAGGGAGCCUGAGAAACGGCUACCACUUCCAAGGGAGGCAGCAGGCGCGCAAAUUACCCACUCCCAGCACGGG